rnacentral:rRNA from 1 species
CUGCUGCCUCCCGUAGGAGUCUGGGCCGUGUCUCAGUCCCAAUGUGGCCGUUCAACCUCUCAGUCCGGCUACCGAUCGUCGGCUUGGUGAGCCGUUACCUCACCAACUACCUAAUCGGACGCGAGCCCAUCUUCGAGCGAUAAAAUCUUUGAUACCAGCAGGAUGUCCUCCCGGUAUGUUAUGCGGUAUUAGCGACCGUUUCCAGCCGUUAUUCCCCUCUCGAAGGCAGGUUGCUCACGUGUUACUCACCCGUCCGCCAA